rnacentral:lncRNA from 1 species
CUUGCAUCAAAUAUUGGAAUACUGAUUCGGAAAAUUCUUCUUGAGACAUGAUUUAAUUGCUCACCACAAAAAUCUCACAUUUCACUCGCAAAGAAAAUUCACACAACUUGGCUUUUACUUCUCUCAAAUGGUCUCACCAAUCACUCUUGCCUUUUUCCACUCGAUUUUUCGCCUCUCGAAGUUCUUCGCAAACUAAGUCGACGAAUCAAUACCGUUUGGCGUCGGCUUACAAAAUUGAUUUGGCUUGGUGGGUAAUGAUGUCGGAAAUGGUAGGCUAUCAAACAAAAUAGAAAUGGUUAAGUGUGGCUAUAUAGAUAUGGUCCUUCGGGCAACAAGCAAUGCUUUUACAAACCCAAAAUGAAUUUCAA